rnacentral:rRNA from 1 species
AUGAUCGUGGCAGAGGAGGACAGAAGCAACAGCAUGUGGAUUUUCGUGAAGCCAUUAACGCCAUUACUCUGGCUCACCUGCAUUGCGCUCUUCUUCUUCUCCAGCUUCAUUGUGUGGGCGAUCGAGCGCGAAUCCAGCCCUGAUUUCCCAUACAUGACUUGGAAGCAAGUCGCGUUCCGGUUCUUCAGUGCAUUCUCAACUCUAGUCUUCUCCCAAAAGGAGAAGCUGAAGAGCAACCUGUCGAAGCUCGUGGUGGUCAUAUCGAUGUUUGUGGCAUUCAUUGUCACAACAUGCUACACGGCCAGCCUGACGUCUAUGUUGACGGCUCGACCGCUCCAACCGACGAUAAGCGUCCUGGGAGAAAGGGACUACGUGGGCUAUCAAGAGGGAUCAUUCAUCGCCGACUUCCUAAUAGACAUGGGCUUUCACGAGGCCAAGUUAAGGGGAUAUACCACAAUCGAUGAGUACGCCGAUGCUCUGAGGAGAGGGUCAGAGAACGGAGGGGUCUCGGCGAUUUUCGACGAAAUGCCCUAUCUGAGGCUCUUCCUGUCGCGCUACUGCCAAGGCUACUCCAUGGUCGGUCCAACCUACAAGAGCGCCGGGUUCGGAUUUGUAUUCCCCAUGGGAUCUCAUCUAGCUCUUGACGUGUCGCGCGCCAUCUUGGAGCUGGCAGAGGGAGAGAAGCUUGCACGCAUCGAGAACAAGUGGUUUGCGCACCCUGGGGUCUGCGUGAACAAGAACAACAGCACCGACUCGUCGUUCAGGCUCGACCUCAGGAACUUCGGUGGGCUGUUCCUCAUCAGCGUCUUGGUCUCGUGCCUCAUGCUGCUGAUAAACCUGACCGCAUGUGUGGCCAGUAGUCCCCACAGAGUUCCGCCGUGGCUGUGUUCUUGGCUUUUGAGAUUUGAGAGCCUCCAGCGGCGCCGAGAUGAGUUCGUGGGGAACGGCGGUGGCGCACCUGAGCGAAAUCCUCCGGAGCCGGCCGCCGGACAGACAGUGCAAGAAGCAGCUGUGACUACUAGUUCCUCGGAAUCCUCCAGAACCUCAGCAGCCUCUUCGCCCGUUCCAGAAGAAAUCGUAGCGCUUCCUCCAGGCCGUUCGAUCGAGCGGGUUCUGCAGGAACAUUCAGCCUCGCCGACCCAGUCCAUACUCCAUACAAAUGCAGCCUAG